GAUGAAGAACGUAGCGAAAUGCGAUACUUGGUGUGAAUUGCAGAAUCCCGUGAACCAUCGAGUCUUUGAACGCAAGUUGCGCCCGAAGCCACUAGGCCGAGGGCACGCCUGCCUGGGCGUCACACGCCGUUGCCCCCCCAUCUACUCCUUCGGGAUUGCGGGGGGGCGGAUGAUGGCCUCCCGUGCGCCUAGCCGCGCGGUUGGCAUAAAUACCAAGUCCUCGGCGACGCACGCCACGACAAUCGGUGGUUGCGAAACCUCGGUUGCCCGUCGUGUGCGUUCGUCGCGCAUCGGGGGCUCAAAAAAAUGCUCGGCUCCGGCUGGGCUUUCAACGCGACCCCAGGUCAGGCGGGGUUACCCGCUGAAUUUAAGCAUAUCAAUAAGCGGAGGA
rnacentral:misc_RNA from 1 species